rnacentral:lncRNA from 1 species
UAUUGAUAUGAUGUGGUAUUGGGUUAGAAUGGAUUAUUUUCUAUUCAUAAAAGUUUCUAAUUUGUACAUAGAGGCUAUAUUUCUAGAAUAUAUUUCAUUUCAGAGAGCAAUCCCUGUGUUCCUGAAAUGAGAUCUUGUUGAUCAGGAGAGCUUCAGUCUUUAAAACUUCUAUGGGAAUAAUUAGGCUGACCCAAUUAGCCAGCUUCUCUUGGGAUUUUAUAAAAUGUCAGAAAUAGAGCCAAUUGGGCCACUUCUAUUUAGAUUUUUUUUAAAGGUGUUAUCUCUCACUAGACAUGCACUGUGUCACUUUGUCACCUAAGGUUUCCAGUUCACUCUUGCACAGAGGUGCAGUCUCAGAGUACAGGGCAUGUGGCAUAUUGGUGAGAAGAGGAGGAGAGGGAUGUGGCAGGAAGAGUGAGAGACCAGGGAACAGAGCUUCCUAAACUGUGUCAUCUAGGCCAUUUUUGCCCUCCACUGAGCAACCUUUCAGCCUAGACCCAUGAUGUUGGCCAGGUUAUUUCAGACAGUUGUUCAAAUUAGUUCAACAUUGUAACAAAUGAACAGGGGGAUCAUUCUACUAAGAUUUCCACCUUCUCAUUGAUGACAGCACUUCUUGAUCAAGAACGCCUAGGGAAUAGAAAAAUGAGGUAAAUAAAACGAAUCACCUUGUAUACUUAACUUACAGCAUUCAUUAAUUAGUGCAUCAAUUAAUUCUAUAACCAUUUACUAAAAUCCUAGUAUUCCUAGGGUCUAUGCUGAGUGCUUUGCAUUUAUUAUCUCAUUAAAAAAAUCCCUCCAUUCUUGGUGGNACAUACAUCUUUCA